CAAUAAUAACUAAAAACUAAAAAACUAGGGGACGACAGCUUUUACCUACGCUGAUUGGUGAAUUCUUGCUUGUCAAAGUCAAUAUGCGGCAUAAGGACCGAGUGAUGGAGAUUUGGGGAGUGAAGAUCCAACAGUGGGAAUGAUCUUUGCGUUGGUUCUUAUCGCACGGAUUUUGUGGCCUGUUCGAAAGCACGGUUCUUUGUGGCGCAUUCGUUUGAACGAGGUAUACUUAUUGUUGGGCCUCCCUAAUUUGUAAGUGAUUUGGUCAGAACAGUCAAUUUUUUCUUACAAAAUAGCAUUGAUUUCCAGA